CUCUCCGCCGGCGACCGGCGCACGGGUGAGUAACACGUAUGCAACCUGCCCCUGUCAGGGGGACAACCCGCCGAAAGGCGGGCUAAACCCGCGUACAUGCCACCGGGGCAUCCCGGAGGCAGGAAAGGCUUCGGCCGGACAGGGAUGGGCAUGCGGCGCAUUAGGCAGUAGGCGGGGUAACGGCCCACCUAACCGACGAUGCGUAGGGGUUCUGAGAGGAAGGUCCCCCACACUGGUACUGAGACACGGACCAGACUCCUACGGGAGGCAGCAG
rnacentral:rRNA from 1 species